rnacentral:rRNA from 1 species
AGACGACGCUGGGCGGCGUGCCUAACACAUGCAAGUCGAGCGGAGUCGAUCGACGGAAGCCUUCGGGCGGAAGAUGGUUGACUUAGCGGCGGAUGGGUGAGUAACGCGUGGGCAACCUGCCUCGAAGACCGGGAUAACAGCCCGAAAGGGCUGCUAAUACCGGAUGUGGUCAAGGAUCCGCAUGGAUUUUUGAUUAAAGGGGAAACCCGUUUCGAGAUGGGCCCGCGUCCUAUCAGCUAGUUGGUGAGGUAAAAGCUCACCAAGGCGACGACGGGUAGCCGGCCUGAGAGGGUGACCGGCCACACUGGAACUGAGACACGGUCCAGACUCCUACGGGGGGCAGCAGUGGGGAAUCUUCCACAAUGGGCGAAAGCCUGAUGGAGCGACGCCGCGUGAGCGAAGAAGGCCUUCGGGUUGUAAAGCUCUGUCUGGAGGGACGAAGGAAGUGACGGUACCUCCGGAGGAAGCCACGGCUAACUACGUG